UGCUAAUCCCAGGAUAUCUUUAUCAUUUCUGUAUAAAAAUGACCCAUUUUAUUCUCUGUGCCUUUCUGAUUUAAUGAGUGCUUCACGGUCGGUCACAAAUUACUUCUUAAGAGAGCAAAGGAACCUUACACAGGUAUUCCGUGCAAAUUGCAGUGCCACUCUGCCAAAGAACAAUUGUCCAUGUAGAGAGACUCCAAAACGACUUACAAAAAGUGAAAGCUGUUUUCCUAAUCUGUGGCCUGAAAAUAGUAGCAAACGCCUCUCCCAUGACACCUGCAGGAUUAAACAAGGAGCAUGAGCAGUUGUUGCCUUGAAGAAAUAUCAGGAAUUUCUGUUAUUACUUUUCAUACCACUUCUUGCCCAGAUACAGUGAUCAGAACUGACUGCAAAGCCUACACAGCUGCCAGUCACAAAACUCUAAGCUAUUGUGUAUCAAUGCCUAAUAAAAAAAAAUUGUCUCAGCAAACAAAUUUAA